ensembl:snRNA U6 U6 spliceosomal RNA
GUGCUUGCUUUGACAACACACAUACUAAAAUUGAAAUGACACAGAGAAGAUUACCAUGGCUGCCUCUGCACGAGGAUUACAUGCAAAUUCAUGAAGUGUUCCAUAUUAAA